UAACUGAAGAGUUUGAUCAUGGCUCAGAUUGAACGCUGGCGGCAGGCUUAACACAUGCAAGUCGAGCGGGGGAAGGUAGCUUGCUACCGGACCUAGCGGCGGACGGGUGAGUAAUGCUUAGGAAUCUGCCUAUUAGUGGGGGACAACAUCUCGAAAGGGAUGCUAAUACCGCAUACGUCCUACGGGAGAAAGCAGGGGAUCUUCGGACCUUGCGCUAAUAGAUGAGCCUAAGUCGGAUUAGCUAGUUGGUGGGGUAAAGGCCUA
rnacentral:rRNA from 1 species